CGGCAUGCCUUACACAUGCAAGUCGAACGGCAGCACGGGUGCUUGCACCUGGUGGCGAGUGGCGAACGGGUGAGUAAUACAUCGGAACAUGUCCUGUAGUGGGGGAUAGCCCGGCGAAAGCCGGAUUAAUACCGCAUACGAUCUACGGAUGAAAGCGGGGGACCUUCGGGCCUCGCGCUAUAGGGUUGGCCGAUGGCUGAUUAGCUAGUUGGUGGGGUAAAGGCCUACCAAGGCGACGAUCAGUAGCUGGUCUGAGAGGACGACCAGCCACACUGGGACUGAGACACGGCCCAGACUCCUACGGGAGGCAACAGUGGGGAAUUUUGGACAAUGGGCGAAAGCCUGAUCCAGCAGUGCCGCGUGUGUGAAGAAGGCCUUCGGGUUGUAAAGCACUUUUGUCCGGAAAGAAAUCCUUGGCUCUAAUACAGUCGGGGGAUGACGGUACCGGAAGAAUAAGCACCGGCUAACUACGUGCCAGCAGCCGCGGUAAUACGUAGGGUGCGAGCGUUAAUCGGAAUUACUGGGCGUAAAGCGUGCGCAGGCGGUUUGCUAAGACCGAUGUGAAAUCCCCGGGCUCAACCUGGGAACUGCAUUGGUGACUGGCAGGCUAGAGUAUGGCAGAGGGGGGUAGAAUUCCACGUGUAGCAGUGAAAUGCGUAGAGAUGUGGAGGAAUACCGAUGGCGAAGGCAGCCCCCUGGGCCAAUACUGACGCUCAUGCACGAAAGCGUGGGGAGCAAACAGGAUUAGAUACCCCUGGUAGUCCACGCCCUAAACGAUGUCAACUAGUUGUUGGGGAUUCAUUUCCUUAGUAACGUAGCUAACGCGUGAAGUUGACCGCCUGGGGAGUACGGUCGCAAGAUUAAAACUCAAAGGAAUUGACGGGGACCCGCACAAGCGGUGGAUGAUGUGGAUUAAUUCGAUGCAACGCGAAAAACCUUACCUACCCUUGACAUGGUCGGAAUCCCGCUGAGAGGUGGGAGUGCUCGAAAGAGAACCGGCGCACAGGUGCUGCAUGGCUGUCGUCAGCUCGUGUCGUGAGAUGUUGGGUUAAGUCCCGCAACGAGCGCAACCCUUGUCCUUAGUUGCUACGCAAGAGCACUCUAAGGAGACUGCCGGUGACAAACCGGAGGAAGGUGGGGAUGACGUCAAGUCCUCAUGGCCCUUAUGGGUAGGGCUUCACACGUCAUACAAUGGUCGGAACAGAGGGUUGCCAACCCGCGAGGGGGAGCUAAUCCCAGAAAACCGAUCGUAGUCCGGAUUGCACUCUGCAACUCGAGUGCAUGAAGCUGGAAUCGCUAGUAAUCGCGGAUCAGCAUGCCGCGGUGAAUACGUUCCCGGGUCUUGUACACACCGCCCGUCACACCAUGGGAGUGGGUUUUACCAGAAGUGGCUAGUCUAACCGCAAGGAGGACGGUCACCACGGUAGGAUUCAUGACUGGGGUGAAGUCAUAACAAG
rnacentral:rRNA from 1 species